UGGGGAAUAUUGGACAAUGGGGGGAACCCUGAUCCAGCCAUGCCGCGUGUGUGAAGAAGGCCUUAUGGUUGUAAAGCACUUUAAGCGAGGAGGAGGGUACUGGUAUUAAUACUACCAGCUACUGGACGUUACUCGCAGAAUAAGCACCGGCUAACUCUGUGCCAGCAGCCGCGGUAAUACAGAGGGUGCGAGCGUUAAUCGGAUUUACUGGGCGUAAAGCGUGCGUAGGCGGCUAAUUGAGUCGGAUGUGAAAUCCCCGAGCUUAACUUGGGAAUUGCAUCCAAAACUGGCGAGCUAGAGUAGGGCAGAGGGUGGUGGAAUUUCCUGUGUAGCGGUGAAAUGCGUAGAUAUAGGAAGGAACACCAGUGGCGAAGGCGACCACCUGGGCUCAUACUGACACUGAGGUGCGAAAGCGUGGGGAGCAAACAGG
rnacentral:rRNA from 1 species